AAGCCAUCCUUUAUAUAUAUGUUAAAGGAGAGAAACUUUUUGUAUUUUAAGAAAGUCAAUCAGCAAAUCAUUCUUUGUUUACUGUGAAAUGCAGUCUUGAAUUCUCAUUUGUCUGAGAGUAUCGAUAUUUCCAAAAUGUGGACAUUUAGACUAAAUUAAGGAGGAACUAGCACUUUGUCUGCUUCCUCAUUUGGCUCCUUGCUCAUUUCCUUUCUGUCCCUGGUUCCAUGAUGGGGAUUUGAGUACAUCACUGUUCUGACCUCGAGACCCCACGAGUUAGCUCCUUUCACCCCAUCUCUUCCUGACUUUCAUCUCUGCCUUCCUCUUUUUUUACAAAAUAGAAACAUUUCUGCUUUUAUCUUCUCUCACUACCUCUUUAACUCUUCUGUUAAUUUAAAUGAACUCAAAAAUUGCAAGAGCUCUUGGCACCCCCAAGUUUCUGGGCUGAGCUGCAUGCCCAUUACAUACUCAUAGUUUCUCAUAAAUCGCAAGCCAAUGAUACGGCAACUGUGGAGCACUUGGUUGCUUAGAACACACUUUAAGGACAAUGGAUUCAUAUUACGAUUGCUCCUACUCAGCUGGUGGCCUAGUUUUUCCUGAAGCUUAGUGAGACAGAUCUUCUCUUUGAAUAGUUAUUUAUGCAAGUCCCGCAUAUUGGGAAGGGGAGAGACUUAGUAACUGUGUUCUACUCUUGAAUAUUCUUAACUGCACUACUCAGCAAGUCACUGUUUUAAUAUAUCAAUUCUUUAUAUAUAUGUAUCAAUCAGGAUCUAGCAAGGAAAUCAGAAACCACUUUAAGUAUUUACAAGAGAAGAAAUUCAAUACAGGAAUUAUUUACACAGGUGAUGGAGAAGCCAGGAGCAAAACAAGGGUUUAUUGCCAGAGAGCGAAGUGAAGGAGGCAGAGUUACGGGUAAAGCUCCGGGACUCACCUAGCAGUGGUGGGAACCAAGACAGCCCUGUGCAGCAGGAGCUAAAGCCAGAGAAGAGACCCAUCCAUCGUCUGAGAAGCAGUCCAAGGUGGAGGGAGCUGUGGCCUCAGGUUAGAAUGAAGAUAUGCUGAUGGUGAGCCAGCUUUGUUUCUGUGAAGGCAUGAGGGCAAUGGAGGGGGUGCGUGUGGAGCCACAAGACAGAGGAAGAUUAGCCCUGAGCUAACAUCUGCUGCCAAUCCUCCUC